ensembl:miRNA mdo-mir-7398l mdo-mir-7398l
UUGUGUAGAGGUAAGAAAUAUGCUGUGUUCUCGCUUGGUAUAUUUCUUGCCUCUACCAAUU